rnacentral:lncRNA from 7 species
CCUCUGUAGUGUGUCACCAGAUGAGCAUCUUUAAUGCUGUUGGCCUGGCUCACGAGGAGUGUGAGAAAUGUUCUGCUGAGCCCGCAGGUAAUGCUGAGGAGCUGCCAGUGCUUUGCCCUGCCUUGGGGAGAUGUGCUGAGCCUCCUCAGGGUCCUGCGAGCAAGAGGAGUAUUUGCAGUCUGAGGACACACGAAGGGAGGCUGUGCAGCCUCUGGAAGCACUCACUGGUUUGGAGGGUAAACUGAAUUUUUUGUGGAGUGAUCCCAUGGAAGUGUGCAGAUCCUGUGCAUCACGAUCCUCUCAGUGUGAUAAUACUUGCAUUAAAUGCCAGUGGGAGAAUUCAGCUGGAGCUGUGACACAACCAUCGUUAAGGCUUUCAUAUCCUGUGACAAGAGGAGAAAAUCUGUGGAACAAUUCCUGCUAAAAGCACCAGGUAUCUGUGCAAAAUAAAGCACCACCCGAAGAGCAGUUAGUUCUGGACCGGUUGUGUUACUUUGGAGCUUUUUCAUCCCACCUGCUUAAGUGAGAAGAGGGAUUCUGCACCUCAAGUAAUUUCUGUUGAAAAUAAGCAGAAGGCAAUAGAUCGGUGUGCAUGUGGUCUUUGGUUUUGAUGUGGAGAACACGUAGUCUUAAACUGAAACGAACAUGUAAGCUGAUAAAUGAAUUCUGAAGAUAAAUAACGGAGUUGCUCUAUUUUUUAACUGGAUUUCAAUAGUUGCCACAUUUAAAAAGAUGAUGCUGAUGUUAUAGAUAUGCUGGUAACUUCAACUGGCUGCUUGGCACCCAUUCAGGUACGAAGGAGUGGUUUCCUAACUCGUGGAUGGGGUGGUUAUCUGGGCUGGAGCUCUAGAAAAGUGCAGAAGAGGAAAUAUCUGAAAGAUGCUAAGUGCUGUAGUGUGGUGUCUGGGUCUGCCUGAAGCCCACCUUGAGAAAUCAGUUCCCUGUUCCUUCACCCCGUGCCUUGUUGGUGGCACCUCGGGGUUAGUGUCCUCUGCAUUUAUAUGCAUUCCAGAGUAGUGGAGACAGCGGCAGCCAGCACACUUGACAUGGAGAGCCCCUUUGUGCUCCUGAGUCCUGCGUGAGCAGCAGGUCAGCCUGUGAGCAGUCUGAAUAAGCAGUCCUUGUGUCUUCGUGUGUCUCUCUGAUCUGCUGAACAAAACCAGCGUACGAAAGGCAGGAAGGCAAAGUGAAGGCCUCUUAAAUGUCACCGUAAUGUCAGCAGCACUGGGAGCAGAGCAGCCUCCGAAGAGCAGAAAGCUUUGUAAUAUUUAUAGAAACAGAAUUUGUUAAAAAUACAUUUGCCUGUUACAGU